AAAACAGGCAGUUCUCAACCUAUGGGUCUCGACCCCUUUGGGGGGUCACAUAUCAGAUAUUUAUGUUACAAUUCAAAACAGUAUCAAAAUUGCCAUUAUGAAGUAGCAACAGAAUACUUUUAUGGUUGUGGGAUCAUCGCAACAUGGUAUCACCACAGUGGUAUGAAGGCCAUAGCAUUAGGAAGGUUGAGGACCACCGUGGUAGAAGGAGACUCUUAAACUGUAGGGAAAGGAAGUGAUCCUUUCAAAGAGCCAUCUCCUGUUCUGUGAUGAUGAACUAAUCCCAGUUUUAGCAGGAGGACUUUCAUGUUUUAGACAGCCUUCUCACGGCACUCUGCCAGGUCAGCCCCUGGCAUAAGGGAACCAGACACUCUGCACUCCACAUGACUGACUGACAGUCCACUCUCCCCUGAAUGACAGUUUUCAUCUCAGUUUUCAAAGCAGCAACUUCAAUUUCAUUACACUUAGAAAGAGUAGACAUAUUCAAAAUGUAAAUGUGUGUGCAUGGCAGUUCUUUGAACUAUAAAAUAAUACAGUUAUUACAUGGUAAAGAGCCAUCUUUAACUCUUACCUGAUGACAUGGGAAUUCAACAAUAUGGGAAGCGUCCAUUCCAUUCUUUGCUUUGUUCUAUAUUUUGGUGCUUUGGUCUCCAUUGUCCUUUUAUCCUUGUAUUUCUUCUAAAAAUAACUACUACAACACAUUUCCCCCUUAGUCUUUCUAUUAAAAUAAAAGAGGUAGGAUCUUGUAAGAUCAAUAUCACACAUUUUUUGCUGCACUGCAUAAUAAGAGUGAGCAGUUAAGAUGGGAAACCUUAGUAUUUAGUACUGUUUUCCAAACUUGGUUAUCAGAUCAUAAGUUGCUUCCAUGAUUGAAGAGAGUAAGUAUACUAUAUAGUCAAAUAGACCAAAAAUAAUAAUAAUAAUAAUAACAGUAGCUAAGCCGGUCUGUUUUUUAAAGCAUAAGACUUGCGAGCAUCGCAUGGCAGCAUUGCUAACCUUUGCUUGAACAAGCUCUCCUGGGACCGGCGGGUCUGUGGACUGUUUUCACUAUACUUGGACAUGAAUCCUCAAAGAGACAGGCUCUCAACAGCUACCACUUAACAAACACUAUGCUGGUUUUUGGCAACUAUAGUUCAUCUUCCUGAUUAUAUUUGUGACGUUCGUGGGACUGUACUAGUACACAGAAGAUGGACCUAUAUACGUAUUUAGGGUUUGAAACAGUAGAAUUGUGUGCAUUUUAGAAAAAUAUAUGGUAACUCGUGGCACUUUGAAAAAAGGAAUGUGCAAUUAUAAUGGUUUAUACCACUUUGACUUUUUUUUAACCCUAGAAGUACUCUUACUAGGCUUUAGCGUCAAAACCAAACCUAAUGCUAAAACUAGCGCUUUGUUCCUCCCGUUGACCCUGUUUGAUUGGUGAUGUGGAAUGUUUCACACUGAUCAUUCCCCCACUGAAUUUUCUUAUGUCCUGACCUCAACACCUUCAAAGAAUGCUUCCAGUGAACCCAGUGAUGGUCAGGAAAAUCCAUGACCAUUCACUCUUGCACUGAUUUAAAUAUAAGCAAUUUUCUUGUCAAAAUAUUUUUUAAGAAAAUAUUCAAACAUUUUAAGUAGUGUUUAUUCAUUUAAAAUAGUUUGGUAUAUAUCUAGAUAGUCACAUUUUUUCCUAAAAUCUAGGGGGUUUUCCCUCACACAAGUAAGUAUAUAUAAUUGUACUUAAAACACACCCAUUCCCCCGCCAAGGCAAAUAAGAUAUAUAGUAAAUGGAUCUCUGUGUGGGUAUGACUCCCACAUAGAUAAACUUCUGUUCCGUCACGGGCAUUUUCCUGUGCUAUGCCAGUGUGUUGUGAGCACAGGGGGUAGAAAUGCUAACAUUAGAAGUUGACAUCAAUACAAAUUCCACAUAAACUUACUGCGAUAGAAGGCAUCUAUCUGCCUGUAACUGAAUAAUUUACUGUUGGUUUUCUCCAGCCUUCCCUGCUUAAGGCUGCACAAUCAUUUUCAAUGAAGGAAGAUAGAAUCUAUGAACAAAGAAGUUUUGUUUUGUUUUGUUUUUUUAAAUGGCCCCAUUUGGCACACUUUGAAAAAUCUGUUGAGUUUGUUUUUUUUUUUUGAAGUUCAUUGGUCGCUUACAACUUCUGAGUCUUACAUAUAAAUCACAGCAUUUAAAAAUCACACAUUUCCCCUGCCCUUCAAAAUGUAUUCAGAAUUGAUCCAGACUCAUAACUUGUAACUUCUAAUGAUUAAAACUUGCCAUAUAUACUGAAAGAUUAAAUGACAUAAGAGCUACAAAAGAUUGGUAAUUAAUAAUGUAACCCCAUAGACUAUCAAACUUCUGAUAGUUCUGGGUUUCUUGCAAAGCCUUAAAAUAU
rnacentral:lncRNA from 1 species